rnacentral:rRNA from 1 species
GACGAACGCUGGCGGCGUGCUUAACACAUGCAAGUCGAACGGAAAGGCCCUGCUUUUGUGGGGUGCUCGAGUGGCGAACGGGUGAGUAACACGUGAGUAACCUGCCCUUGACUUUGGGGUAACUUCAGGAAACUGGGGCUAAUACCGGAUAGGAGCUCCUGCUGCAUGGUGGGGGUCGGAAAGUUUCGGCGGUUGGGGAUGGACUCGCGGCUUAUCAGCUUGUUGGUGGGGUAGUGGCUUACCAAGGCUUUGACGGGUAGCCGGCCUGAGAGGGUGACCGGCAAAAUUGGGACUGUGAUACGGCCCAGAGUCCUACGGGAGGCAGCAGUGGGGAAGAGUGCACGAUGGGCGGAAGCCGGAUGCAGCAACGCCGCGUGAGGGAUGACGGCCUUCGGGUUGUAAACCGCUUUCGCCUGUGACGAAGCGUGAGUGACGGUAAUGGGUAAAGAAGCACCGGCUAACUACGUG